UACGUAGGGUGCAAGCGUUGUCCGGAAUUAUUGGGCGUAAAGAGCUCGUAGGCGGUUUGUCGCGUCUGCUGUGAAAACUGGAGGCUCAACCUCCAGCCUGCAGUGGGUACGGGCAAACUAGAGUGCGGUAGGGGAGAUUGGAAUUCCUGGUGUAGCGGUGGAAUGCGCAGAUAUCAGGAGGAACACCGAUGGCGAAGGCAGAUCUCUGGGCCGUAACUGACGCUGAGGAGCGAAAGCGUGGGGAGCAAACAGG
rnacentral:rRNA from 1 species